rnacentral:rRNA from 1 species
GACAGAGGAUGCAAGCGUUAUCCGGAAUGAUUGGGCGUAAAGCGUCUGUAGGUGGUUUAUUAAGUCUACUGUUAAAGAUCAGGGCUUAACCCUGAGCAGGCAAUAGAAACUAAUAAGCUAGAGUACGGUAGGGGCAGAGGGAAUUCCCGGUGUAGCGGUGAAAUGCGUAGAGAUCGGGAAGAACACCAACGGCGAAAGCACUCUGCUGGGCCGAAACUGACACUGGAGAGACGAAAGCUAGGGGAGCAAAUGGG